AUUGUUUCAAAAUAACCAUGUUUAUCUCAUUUUCAUUACUUUUAAAUAUCAAUAUGACACCAAAUUCAAAAUGCCUACUGACGACGAGGAUCCCCGCUUGGGCUCCUCGUCCGGGCUCAUCGCCCUAGAUUGGUGGCUGGGCUCGAGCCCACUUGUGUCUUUCUCGGUAUGUUUAGUUGGUUUAAGUGGGCCAUGACCUGAUAAGCCCACUCUUGGACCAGCCCAUUAGGGUUAUGGCCCAAGUGUCUUAUUAUAAAAAGGAAGCUCACCUUCCUUAAGAGCCAGAUUACACUUUCCCUACAAAAAAGAAGGUUACUUCUCUUCCUUCUCACAUAAUACAUCUGCUCCCUCUCUAGAUUAUACAUUUUACUUGCACUUAUAACUAUCUUUACCAUACAUGAUACUGACUUGAGCGUCGGAAUGCCCACGGGGUGAACCCCCUCGGGCCCUCUAACUAGAUCUACCUGUGGCUGCAGCCCAAGACCCGACAUCCCUCAAGAGGAACCGUCACCGUGACGACGAGAGGAAGAACCUGAACCGGAGCUCACCGAAUCUAAGGUUAGUACUGCCAAACCCUUUGAACCACUUCAGGGAUUUGGGGAUUCGACAUUGGCGCCAUCCGUGGGACCGAGUACAAGCGUGUCUGGGUCUCUUCAUAUGAACGGUCGGAUCUGUGAUUCUUGUGUGCUCGACACGCUUCCCAGAUCUGCAUCCAUCUCCGGUCAACAGGUUUCAUCUCCUCAUCUCAUAACAUGCUCAAUAUAGAUAACCCUUGAAUAUCUAGAAAAUUAUGUGCAAUCACCAUACCUUAAAAAAAACUAUGCUUACACACUCAGAACUGAGAUCUGUAGUCCAUGUAGGUAUAAAUAUGCCCCGAGCAUAACAUCUUGUUUUUAAUCCUUCAAAUGGUAAAAGUGAACUGAAAAGCCUUGCGUUUCAGUUGAUUGACUACCAUCAAAAAGUAGGGCUAUUUGACUUGCUCAACAUAAAAAAAUGAUUAAAUGGUAUAGCACACGUGUCGAGACAAAGGAUAUACCAUUAAAAGAAGGAUACGUAUUGGUUUUCACAAGUGCAGAUGUGGUGUCUUGUACUUCACAAGGUUGAAAAGUCAAAUACAUAUGAAGGUUUGUAAUAACCUUUUGCUUAGUGCAUUAAAUAUACGGUACAUGAACUACCGCAUAAAUUACAAACAGUUGGUGCCCAUCAAAAAUGUACAAACACAUCUCGAAAUAAAUUUUUGGAUCUUUAUUUUACGAAAAAAGCUUUACGACUUGUUCUUACCAAAACUCUACAUUUUUACGAACAAGUAAAAUUGUGGAACCAAGAUCAUGCAGAAAAAUGAGCUCUGCUCAUGAAGCACUACCCAAAGAAGACUGGGUUAUUUACUCUAUCUUUUGGAUGAUAAUAUGGUUUAACUAAUGUAUAACAUUGUAUUGUAUGAUGGGUAUUUACUUACCAACUUAGUCAAUUUCUUUGUCAGAAAGGAAGAAAAGAAAAACAAUAAAUAAAUAAAAUAAAGGUGUAUCUUUUGGAAAAGAAGUCAACAAGCUUAUCUAACAAGCUUUUCUGUCAUAGAGCACGUGACUUUGUUGACAUGAGCUGUCAACAACACUUUUAAUUUUUUAUACAAAUUAAAAUAUACACUUGAUAAGAAAGGUAUUAAUUACCUUAGAUUCAUUUGACUUUUGCUAUCCUGACAACUAAAAAAGAGAAAGGUAAAGGAACAGGAAUAUGGUUUAAGUAUAACUUUCUCAGUUAGGAAUAUGGUUGAGCACCAACAUGUAUCUCAAAAGUACAAGCACAUGCUAACACUUCUAAACAUUCAAUAUAAUAAAAUAUACUGAUAUGUAUAUUAUGAGGAAAAUGAAAAUAUGAACUUUUCAUAACCUUCACUUGCAAGUAAUACUUGAAUUUUUAUUUAUAAAAAAAAGGAAAAGGUACAAGUCAUAUUGCACAUGGCACAACCCUCUUUUUGUGGAAAAUACACUCUUUUGACAGGAUGUGACCUUUUUUCUUAGAAACAUGUGAUGCCUCACUCUCACCAAUAUGGUAAAGUUUCCCUAUGAAAAGAAAGUCAGUUUGACUUUCUUAUGGAAAAAUAAUAAUAUUUUACUAGUAUAAGGUCCUUCCACAUGGUCCUUCCCCGGGCCCUCCCUCAGGCCCUUUCACUUGGUCCUUCCUCAAGACCUUUCCCAGGUCCUUCCACAGGGUCCUUCCCCGGGUCCUCCCUCAGGCCCUUCCACCCGGUCCUUCCUCAGGACCUUUCCCAGGUCCUUCCACAGGGUCCUUCCCCGGGUCCUCCCUCAGGCCCUUUCACCUGGUCCUUCCUCCGGACCUUUCCCAUGUCCUUCCACAGGGUCCUUCCCCGGGUCCUUCCUCAGGCCCUUCCACCUGGUCUUUCCCCAGGUCCUUCCACAGGGUCCUUCCCCGGGUCCUUCCUCAGGCCCUUCCACCUGGCCUUUCCUCAGGUCCUUUAGCAGGGUCCUUCCUCAGGCCCUUCCACCUGUCCUUCCUCAGGUCCUUUCUACACGGUCCUUCUCCAGGUCCUUUCACGGGGUCCCUUCCAUUAGCCCCUUCCUCAGGUCUCUUCACAAGGUCUUGCCUCAAGCCCUUCCGCCAGGUCCUUUUCUAGACCUUAACACAAAACAUUUACGCAAGGCCUUUCUCCGAAGUCUUGCAUCGUACACCACUUCUAGACACAGAUUUAUUGUUCCCAUUACAACGUUGUUAGGGUACGUAGGCUACCCCCUUAAUGAUAUGAUGGCAUCACGUCUUCACAAAAAGGCACAAGCACAAGCACUUAUACACACAACACAACAUGUUUAAUACAUAAGUAAACUGAUCUUUGGUAUGACUUACCUCUUUGAAAGUGUUUUCGUGGCAAGUAUCGAAGCAUGAACAUGAGCAACACAAAAAGCUAUUAGUCACGACCUACGGGAUAGGUCGACAAAGGCUAAUAUUGGACUGGAUGAUAUGUACCAGAGAAACAAGGCAUGAUCUUUGAAAAGACAUUGAAAAAUAGCGAUCACCUUAAACAUCCUUAAACAAGGAUAUAGCUUCGGGUAGGUGGAAAGUGACACAACAUUAGUAAAAGCAAGAAAUACCUUUGUGCAACACUGAACUGGGGAGCUAGCAUGGUAUAACACCACGGGAUCCUAUAUUGAAGACUUCUGUCACACCCCAGAUUACCACCUAGGGUAUGUCCCUAUUGGAGGUGCAACGAUCCAACAAAGAGCCACCAAUCAUAUCAAACACAAGUUAUAAUGUAUUAAAAUACCCAAUUGAAAGAAAUGUAUCGUUUGAAAAGUCAAACCAAAACCAAAGUAUUAAGCGGAAGCAUAAAUGUAUAAGUGUAUAAAUGUAUCGAAACCCAAUCAAUAUAAAUGUUUAUCAUGACCAUAACCACUCCAGCAGCAUCAGACAGCAAGUUCCCAAGUUCCUUCAGUAAUUACCUACAAGCAUGUAAACAAGUGUGUCAGACUACGCUGGUGAGUUCAAGGUUUGUGUUUGUUUACCAAGUUGUGUUACCGAUCAUGUUAGUAAAACAGUUUACAAAAUGAUAUGUUGCUUGUUAUUAUGAUGUUUGACGUUUUGAUGUUGCUCAUGUUAGAUACCCUAGGGAGUGUGCCCAUAAGUAUCCGGGGAGUGGGUACCCCUUAACGACCGUUUGCUAUGUUGCCUUCGUUAGAUACCCUAGGGAGAGUGCCCAUAUGUAUCCGAGGAGUGUGCCUCUAACAACCAUAGCCAUACCCAGAUAAUUAGUUCACGCCCGUCCUUACGGCCCGGUGUGAGGUUUCCCACCUAAUAGCGCUAUCAACUAAAUACCUCCAUUGCCCUCCAGGCAAUAACCAAAACCGAUUAAGUUAUUUACCCAAUGUUUCCCUUCCAAAUGUUUACCAGUUGUCCCAAACCACCGGGACGCAUGCUUGAGAAAAUGCAAUGAACUCACCUUUGGUUUGCUCGGUUAGACUUAGUUACUUGUAUUAUCGUUGGACACCCCAAACCCUAAUAUGGUUCCAAUGAUGACAAUCAGUUUCGUUAACACGGAAUGCAAAUUGUGACACAUAAUAUACGAGUAAUAUACACACAUCAUCGUACAAGUUGUAACAAUUGAUCAUGAAAUCCAAUAUUCCAUAUCAUACAAAUACAUCAUAUGACAGAUGUGUGGGCCUCAUACCAGUUCAUUUACAUGAUACCAUAGUUCAUUAAUUAAUAAUAUCACUAACCAUCACAAAUAUACAGCACAACUAAGUUAAUCUCAUAUACCCUUACAUGAACAUCUAGCAAUCAUUACAAGCCACAACGAUUCAACCAUAUACAAAAUACAUACUACACAGUCAUUAAUGCCCAUCAGGUCAAACGAGUUCAUCACCCUAAUAUUAUAUCCAAGUUAAUACAUUGUUAACAUCGUAACACCGAAUCUAGUUUCAUUUAACACCAUACAAAUCAUACACUGCAUAAUUGUUUAGUCGUGGACCUUUAAUCCUCGUGCGGCCCAAGAAUCCAACAUAUGAAAUCCGACUACACUAUCACUUUUCGUGGAUAUAUGCUAUCUUUAAUAAAGAUAGCUGACAAACAUUAAUUAAUGAUAAAGCUUCAUUGGACCACUUAACUUAAUCACAUGGAUUGGGUACUAUGAAUCACAUGACUUCUGAUGUGUUUAAUUAAUGCAGUCUACACUUUAUUCUCAUGCAACAAUAAUGACAUGCACAUGUAGGGUCAACACUUGAUGUCAUGUAUUGACAUAAUAAAGAAACAACUCACAGUCAAAUGAAUGAUGAUGAUUAUUAUCAUCACAGCCGCCACCUUAAGACCCAAAAGUGGGCCGAUAACAUCAGCAAAUACACGCACAUAUGUGGAACUUUUGAUUGGGCCGCCAAUACAAGUGGUGGACAUGGGGGGCUUGGUUUUGAAGGGCGGCCGACAUACAAGGGUUUCAGAAUACUCACACAUCAUUAUCCUACACAUACUUCAAGAGGCACAUGCACGGCAGAUUGAGUCAAAUCACAAACAACCACACUUGCAGAAACUAACCUUUGUCAGGAUUCAUAUUCAAACUUCAAUCAUUUACAAUUCAUAUUUAAUAGACCAGUUCCUUACAAUUCAUAUUUACAAUUCAUAUUUAAUCAUUUACGUAACCCUAAUUCAUCGAUCACUACUCAUCAUACACAAUCUUCUACGUUCAUUGCGAUACAAUCCAUAUUAUCACACAACAUUCCAGUAGAUCAACAGCCAAACGAUUCCCCAAAAUUCAAUAAUGAGUUUAUCGUUUUUAAUAUAUACUAUCAUCAUUCUUAAUAUCAUGCCCCCUAAUUAUUCAUACAUCAUUGUUAAUCAUUCAGCAAGUUGCACAUAGUAGAGAAAAGUAAUCAAGAAAUAGAACAAGUAUGUUAACACUGACCGAGAGAUUAAGGAAGCUUCGGCCCAAUAGUUGCCAACGAUUCAAGGGAGGAGAAAAAGAGGUGAUUAGGGUUUGCUAGAAGCUUUGUGAAUACGUUAUUAUGAAAACCGCAUCUAAUCCCCCUUGUGUGUGCGUGAAUAUACGAAUCCACAAUAGCCGACCCAACUUCUAAGCCUUGUUUGGGCUUUACAUAGCCCAUGCAUGAUUGUGAUAGCUAAAUGUGUGUGUAUGAGUCCGGGUUGGGCUCCGGGUAUGUGGGUCGAGAUGGUUAAAUGAUAUUUGUGGCCCAAGCUAACUACUAGACACUAAAACAACUCAUGUACGCACUCAGUCGUACCCGAUUACCUUUACUUUUAACAAAUUUAACAUAACGAGAAACGUUGGAGAGAAAUACUGAGAGAAGUUAAGAUCACGAGACUAAACGGCACUAAUCCUGAAAGUUCGGGUUGUCACAUCAUCCCCAACUUGAAAGAAAUUUCGUCCCGAAAUUUGAUAAGUAAACCACAAAUAGUGGGGUGAUAGAUCAGGAUGACUGUGGAUUUUUCCAGGAGUACCACAUCAUCCCCAACUUGAAAGGGAAUUUCGUCCCGAAAUUCGCCAGUGACAUCAGAAGUUACUUCAACCGCUUGAACAACCGAGGACACUAGAGCUUACUCCGAUCAUUGCGUUCCUACGUGAACUCCGGUCUACCUCUUGAGUUCUAACGAACUCUCAAAAUCGCGGUACGACUAUAUUAAUCGAAUCUUGACUUCCAGGUCCACGUGUUCGAUCAAUUUCUCCUGUAAAGGUGUCGCACGUGCUUCAUCAGACAUCAGUUAAGCUCGCCACGCUUUCCAAGCCUCCCACACCCUCUCAAGGUGAGACUUUCAACACGAUACGAUUUCCUACAACGAUCUUCCAGCGUUUCCCAAGUUUAUCAGCUUCCCUGACGGUCACGUGUUGCUGCCAAACGAUUUCCGACCCAAGGAAUCUUCCCAAGAGUUUCGAGUACAGGUUCCGGACCUGUGAUUUGGUUGUCACCCGCCUCAAUUCAACAAGGAGAUUAACGUUACUGUCCAUGCAAUGCCUCAAACAGAGUUGUCUGAAUACUAGAAUGGUAACCUCUACGUUAGAGCUCAGCCAAAGAUAUGUGUCCUUCAUAAUUCCACUGAGUCAAUCACACACAUGCUCGCAGCAUGUCUUCGAGUGUCAGGAUGGUUCAUGUACUUUGACCGUUUGUCCUAAGUAAUGCUCAUGUCUAGACGUGAGCCAAGGGUGUUGCGUAUUGCCUGACAUAAAUCAUGCAUAUAUCAAAUUUAGAGGUAACAAGCCGCCUCUCUCAGAGGAACAUUCACAACUGUGAAGACACGCCAGUUUACUUGAUUGCAAGAAAGUGUGUUGGUAUCGUGAGACAAUCAACGAUCACUCAGGUGAUAUCGUUUCUGUUUCGAGUUGUAGGCAGACUAGUGACAGAGUCCAUGGCAGUCUGUUCUCAUUUCCAUAUGUGUGUUUCUAGUUGCUGAUUCUUCUUCUUGACUUUCGUCUGCUAAAAGUUCGCUCGUAUAUCAAUCCUCGAACGAAAGUUCGUCCCUUGCUACUAGUUGGCAGGUUGUCAAUACGCGGUCGAGGUAAACAGUUCCCAACUGUCGCCUUGAUGAGUUCUCGAUAGUCAGUACCCGCACAAAAAGGCUUAUCUUCACGGAUGAAAAUGGGGCUUCCCAACACGGAAACUAAGUUCGACAAAACUCAUGUCCAACGGUUCCCGCAGAUAGUCCUUGCAACCCUCCUGGUGCAAGACGGUAUGUAGCACGAGCAAUCAUGGCUGCUCCUUUCGUGAGAUCAAACUAAGUUUCUGCCUAGCGGUGGUGGAUGUAAAUCUGAAAGCUCCUCGGGUAGCGCACUGAGAGGAAUCGCAAACAAUUGAUGGGUCCUUGAUCCUCUUUUCCUUAGCCUCAACAUCAGUAUCGGUUGCUAGCGUAGCAGGGUGAUCCCUCCGUAGACACUGCUAGGCCUUCAUAGCUGAUAUGGCGCUAACCUUUGCGACACUCUGUUGUUUUCGAACGAUUCUCCACACAAAAUUUCCUCCUCACAAGGUAUGUGUGCGCGAUUUUUGAAUAACCAAUCCACGCUAACUACUGCAUUGUAACCAUCAGGGGUAGUGGAAGGAAGGUCGAUGUCGAACACCUGUUCCCCCAAGGUCGAGCUUGCAUCCCAGCGAACAUAUAGGGCUUCAAUUGACUUGCAUCAGCCGACCCCGCAACAGGUUCGGUUUCAAGAAGCAUUAGGGUUAAACAGAACAGAGACAAAGCGAAUAGCUACCCGUCCAAGCUAUCGUGUUGCUAUUACGCCCAGUAUAGCCUAUGACAAUACUAAAUGUCCUCCCACGAGCUUCAUUUCUAGUGUUGUUUUCGUCACGAGAAUUUCCACUUCUGCCGUCGUUCCCUUGGUUGUCGAUCCUUGUCGAGGUCGCCUUCGUUUCCAUACUGUAAGCUACGAUCAUGAGUACCUUGAUGUUGCCACGACUGUUGCCUCUAAUAAUGUUUCCUGUAACGGUGUCCCACGUCCUUUCACCAUCAAGGUCCAUCUUUUCACACUCCGUGCCAUGUUCUAAGGCACUACUCAUAGUGCGGGCGGUUACACAGUCUGCUCUACAGUCAAUUGUCAUCGAUUUUGUCCCGAUUGAUUCGUAAAAGUCAACUCCCAAGAGUCGUUGUCUGGGGUUGAGGAUUCGAUUAGAGUCAAAUCGCUGUUGCUCGAUGCCGGUAACUAGGGUCGUUCAAAUGCUGAAGUCGGUAAGGUACUACGUUUACCUUCUUGUCCAUCGUUCUUGCAGGUUGACUGAGUAAUGGACGGUGUGUCGUGAGAGUGCUGCAGAAGUAAUCGCACUUCGGGAUCUAAGGCGUUAACAUGCUAAGUUCCAGCAAACAAAGAUAAGUGAGAAAAGUAUAGUCUAAUCAUUUGACGCUGAGCCAUCCAACUCAGGGUCGUUCGUACUAGCACCUAACAUUCUACACAAUUCGAUAGGCGUUCGGAUGCGUGAUCAGGUGAUACUCAUUAGUAUCGAGAUCCGUAAGGAUUUAGAAAGGAGUGAAAAGAUCAUAUUCAGUUGGAGACAAUCACUACUAUGACUCCUAUAGACUGCUGAGUUCUAACAUAACAUCAAUUAACAGAGCGGAACCCCUUCUUCACUUGUUAAGCCUCACUGGGACUCGCAUGCACCCCACAUUAUUAUUAUGUGUGCACCCACAAUAAUAUUGUGAUUUGCAUGCUCAUCUCAGUUCCUCCUAACUCAUGUCGAAUGUUUCCCCCAAACUCGAAUAGCAAACAAAGAGCAUUACAUAACAUAAGUCACGAAUGUUUAGGGAAAUACCACCCUAUCAGUCAUAUAACAUGUGCAAGGGAUACGUAAGUUCAUACUAUCGUGUUUAACGUGCACCAGCAUGCAAUAUCAUAUGUAAGUGUCCACUAGUUACGUAGUACAAUGAGUAUACGAGAGACGAACCUUGCAAUCUGGAGCUGAGUGUCAUGGUCAUAUUCUUUGUUGUCAAAACUGUUCGGUUAUAGUCUGGUUUUAUAAAAACGUUUUAAAACCAAGUUCUCUAUAACCAGUGGCUCUGAUACCAAACUGUCACACCCCCAGAUUACCACCUAGGGUAUGUCCCUAUUGGAGGUGCAACGAUCCAACAAAGAGCCACCAAUCAUAUCAAACACAAGUUAUAAUGUAUUAAAAUACCCAAUUGAAAGAAAUGUAUCGUUUGAAAAGUCAAACCAAAACCAAAGUAUUAAGCGGAAGCAUAAAUGUAUAAGUGUAUAAAUGUAUCGAAACCCAAUCAAUAUAAAUGUUUAUCAUGACCAUAACCACUCCAGCAGCAUCAGACAGCAAGUUCCCAAGUUCCUUCAGUAAUUACCUACAAGCAUGUAAACAAGUGUGUCAGACUACGCUGGUGAGUUCAAGGUUUGUGUUUGUUUACCAAGUUGUGUUACCGAUCAUGUUAGUAAAACAGUUUACAAAAUGAUAUGUUGCUUGUUAUUAUGAUGUUUGACGUUUUGAUGUUGCUCAUGUUAGAUACCCUAGGGAGUGUGCCCAUAAGUAUCCGGGGAGUGGGUACCCCUUAACGACCGUUUGCUAUGUUGCCUUCGUUAGAUACCCUAGGGAGAGUGCCCAUAUGUAUCCGAGGAGUGUGCCUCUAACAACCAUAGCCAUACCCAGAUAAUUAGUUCACGCCCGUCCUUACGGCCCGGUGUGAGGUUUCCCACCUAAUAGCGCUAUCAACUAAAUACCUCCAUUGCCCUCCAGGCAAUAACCAAAACCGAUUAAGUUAUUUACCCAAUGUUUCCCUUCCAAAUGUUUACCAGUUGUCCCAAACCACCGGGACGCAUGCUUGAGAAAAUGCAAUGAACUCACCUUUGGUUUGCUCGGUUAGACUUAGUUACUUGUAUUAUCGUUGGACACCCCAAACCCUAAUAUGGUUCCAAUGAUGACAAUCAGUUUCGUUAACACGGAAUGCAAAUUGUGACACAUAAUAUACGAGUAAUAUACACACAUCAUCGUACAAGUUGUAACAGUUGAUCAUGAAAUCCAAUAUUCCAUAUCAUACAAAUACAUCAUAUGACAGAUGUGUGGGCCUCAUACCAGUUCAUUUACAUGAUACCAUAGUUCAUUAAUUAAUAAUAUCACUAACCAUCACAAAUAUACAGCACAACUAAGUUAAUCUCAUAUACCCUUACAUGAACAUCUAGCAAUCAUUACAAGCCACAACGAUUCAACCAUAUACAAAAUACAUACUACACAGUCAUUAAUGCCCAUCAGGUCAAACGAGUUCAUCACCCUAAUAUUAUAUCCAAGUUAAUACAUUGUUAACAUCGUAACACCGAAUCUAGUUUCAUUUAACACCAUACAAAUCAUACACUGCAUAAUUGUUUAGUCGUGGACCUUUAAUCCUCGUGCGGCCCAAGAAUCCAACAUAUGAAAUCCGACUACACUAUCACUUUUCGUGGAUAUAUGCUAUCUUUAAUAAAGAUAGCUGACAAACAUUAAUUAAUGAUAAAGCUUCAUUGGACCACUCAACUUAAUCACAUGGAUUGGGUACUAUGAAUCACAUGACUUCUGAUGUGUUUAAUUAAUGCAGUCUACACUUUAUUCUCAUGCAACAAUAAUGACAUGCACAUGUAGGGUCAACACUUGAUGUCAUGUAUUGACAUAAUAAAGAAACAACUCACAGUCAAAUGAAUGAUGAUGAUUAUUAUCAUCACAGCCGCCACCUUAAGACCCAAAAGUGGGCCGAUAACAUCAGCAAAUACACGCACAUAUGUGGAACUUUUGAUUGGGCCGCCAAUACAAGUGGUGGACAUGGGGGGCUUGGUUUUGAAGGGCGGCCGACAUACAAGGGUUUCAGAAUACUCACACAUCAUUAUCCUACACAUACUUCAAGAGGCACAUGCACGGCAGAUUGAGUCAAAUCACAAACAACCACACUUGCAGAAACUAACCUUUGUCAGGAUUCAUAUUCAAACUUCAAUCAUUUACAAUUCAUAUUUAAUAGACCAGUUCCUUACAAUUCAUAUUUACAAUUCAUAUUUAAUCAUUUACGUAACCCUAAUUCAUCAAUCACUACUCAUCAUACACAAUCUUCUACGUUCAUUGCGAUACAAUCCAUAUUAUCACACAACAUUCCAGUAGAUCAACAGCCAAACGAUUCCCCAAAAUUCAAUAAUGAGUUUAUCGUUUUUAAUAUAUACUAUCAUCAUUCUUAAUAUCAUGCCCCCUAAUUAUUCAUACAUCAUUGUUAAUCAUUCAGCAAGUUGCACAUAGUAGAGAAAAGUAAUCAAGAAAUAGAACAAGUAUGUUAACACUGACCGAGAGAUUAAGGAAGCUUCGGCCCAAUAGUUGCCAACGAUUCAAGGGAGGAGAAAAAGAGGUGAUUAGGGUUUGCUAGAAGCUUUGUGAAUACGUUAUUAUGAAAACCGCAUCUAAUCCCCCUUGUGUGUGCGUGAAUAUACGAAUCCACAAUAGCCGACCCAACUUCUAAGCCUUGUUUGGGCUUUACAUAGCCCAUGCAUGAUUGUGAUAGCUAAAUGUGUGUGUAUGAGUCCGGGUUGGGCUCCGGGUAUGUGGGUCGAGAUGGUUAAAUGAUAUUUGUGGCCCAAGCUAACUACUAGACACUAAAACAACUCAUGUACGCACUCAGUCGUACCCGAUUACCUUUACUUUUAACAAAUUUAACAUAACGAGAAACGUUGGAGAGAAAUACUGAGAGAAGUUAAGAUCACGAGACUAAACGGCACUAAUCCUGAAAGUUCGGGUUGUCACAACUUCUCGAAAGGAUCUUUAUUUUUGUAUUACCUCCUCCGAAAAGGAUUAAGCCCCUGCAUAAGUUCUCAUGUUCGAAGAUCUCAAAAACAAAAAAAAAGGAGGGAGGAGGAAUGGGCAUGGACUGCCUUACUAAUUCCUCCACUGGAAGAAAAGAAAAGCCUGGGUUGUGUACUUAGCUCCUUCCCUGAAGAAAAAAGAAUCAGAGGAUCACGUUAUCAAUCCUCCAUUUGAAGAAACGAGGAGUCUGGGCUACGCAGUUGACUCCCCUCCUGAAGGGGAAAGAAUCGUCGGACUAUGUUAUUAGUCCUUAAGGAGAAUCCAGAUGCUCUCCUUAAAGACAGAAGACUCCUUGGACUACGUUGUUAGUCCUCGAGGAAACCCUGGACGGUCCUUCCUUGAAAAAGGAAGAACCCUGGAGCUGCAUUAUUAGUCCCUCUCUUGAAGAAGGAAAGAACCUGAGCAGGACAAUACGAGAGAUUCUACAGGGAAAAAGAAAGAAAGGAAAACCUUAAUAAAAGCAUUUUCGCUUUAAGGGAAAAGUGAAAUCCUCCUACAGACUGUCGUGCUCAAGAAACCCUUAUCUGCCAAAACAAAACGAUAUUCCCUCCUAAAGGCUAAAGCAUUUUGGAAGUCCCUUCCAUCAACAAGAAAAUCCCUUCUCUUCUGGAUAAGGUACCUCAGCAGUCGCUUGCAAGAACAGGAACAUAUACUUUCCAUGGAAUUACUUCCAGGAAAAGUUCCUUCCAAGAAUAUGAAGAAUAUCCCAUUAUCUGGGAUCAAGUAUUUUAGAAGUCCCUUUCGUAAACAGGAACAUACCCCUACCUAGGGACUAAGUCUUGAAGAAACUCCUUCCAAGAAUAGGAAAGAACAUAUCCCUUCAGCGGGAUCCAAUUUUAAAGAAGCUCCUUCCAAGAAAAGGAAGGAACAUAUCCCUCACUCGAGAAUCAGCCUUGAAGAAAUUCCUUCCAAGAAUAUGAAAUGAGGAAGUACAGGGGUCGUUCGGUCAUUAAUCAAAAGUUGAAUUGAAUGAAAAUACAAGAAGAGUGUGGGAGGUAAUUAAAGUGGGAGUUUCACGAUGGGGAUCAGUAUCUCUGAGGAUUAAGUCUUGGAGGAGCCGCCCCCGAAAAAAUGAGGAUGCCCCCCCUAUGUGAUUAGGGGUCUCGCAAGUCUCUUCAACGAACAGGAACAAGUUUCUCCCAAGGAAAAGGAGGGUAUCCCCUCCCAUGGGAUUAAGUAUUGCAGAAGUCUAUUCAACAAACAGAAGUGUACCCAGCUACGGGAUCAAAUAUUGGUAAAGUUCCUUCUAAGGACGGGAAAGUACUCCAGUCCCUGGGAUUUGAUAUCUGAGAAAAAUCAUUAUUGAGAUCGCACCCGAACAACUUAUUUAAAAAAGGGGGGGGAGAGCCCCCUUGACAAGGGACUUCGAAUCUGAAGUAUCCCUUCCUUGAAAAGAAAAUAUCUCUGCCACAGGUCUGUGUUUUAGAAAGUAUCUCUCCAAAGAAGAGGAGCCCCAUCUCUGGGUCACAUACGUUUGAAGAAGUCUCUCCAAGAGGUGAGGGUUGCACAUUCCAUGGGCACCCAUUUUUAUAGAAUUACAACACCCCUCAGGGGAGGAAAGAGCCCUUAACAAGGACUCACAUAGGAAGUUUCCCUUUACAUAACAAGUGUUUUUAAAGGCCUCAUAAAACCCCUCCAAAAGGAGAAGAUGCCACCCCUUCUUGAAGAACAAAAACCUGAACGGUUUGAGGACCUUGCUAACGGGUCAAACAGGAUCAUCUAGGCAGACGUGCCGAACGAUCCUACAAUAAAAUGAACAUGUACAUAGGCAUACAGACAUGCCACCUUAAUCAAAACAAGGCAAAGCCCGGCCGUGGGGCUAGGACUAAGUCGACUACGUCCAAAAAACGCCGAAGCAGGCAUAUAAAAGUCCAAGUGGCCCAAACGCCAUUGGACAACAGGCCCAACAGAAGCUUUACAACUUAAAACAAGUUACAAAGCGGGCCUAGGAAAAGCCUUUACAACUUGAGCAAGUUACAAAGCAAACUAUAGAAAGCUUUAACAACCCAAGCAGGUUACGAAGAAAACUUGUACAAAGCUUUAACAACCCAAGCAGGUUACAAAGCAAACUUGUACAAAGCUUUAACAACUCAAGCAAGUUACGAAGCAAACUUAUAUAAAGCUUUAACAACUCAAACGAGUGACAAAGCAAACUUAUAUAAAGCUUUAACAACUCAAACGAGUGACAAAGCAAACUUGUACAAAGCUUUAACAACUUAAACCAGCAACAAAGCAAACUAUAGAAAGUUUUAACAACUCAAGCAACCCAGACACGUUACAAGGCAAACUCAUAGGAAAGUUUUAACAACUCAAGCAAGCUACGAAGCAAACUUAUACAAAGUUUCAAACGAGUCACAAAACGGGUCCAUACAAAGCUUUAACAACUCAAAAAGUUACAAAGCGACCCAUAGAAAGUCUUAACGGCUUAAACAGGGUACAAAGAAAACUCAUAAGUUUUAACAGCUCAAGCAAUACAAAAACCCUCACUAGAGGAACACAGUACAAAGAGUACAACACGGUAAAUAAGGCAUCCCGGUCGAUGCCCUUUAGGAAAUUACUCUCGAACGAGUAUUUUGAUUGAAAUGCAUCUAAAAAGUAUAUGCAAAGAUGAUCUAAAUAGCAUAAAUGCUACAAAAAAGCACUAUCGAACAAGUGCAUUGGAAAAAAUGCCUUCAAGGAGGCAUAAAUUGAAGUAAGGUAUUGGGCUACCCUACUUAAGGGGUCACCUGGCUAUUUUAAGUACUAAAUGCAAGGUCACCCCAAGGACAAUAAAGUAGAUUGGUUUGGCAUGACGUGCCUUAGGCUAUGCUUACCCGACGGAUAGAGGGAACGGCUGAAGGGCGGAUAACAACCGCUUGGGCUCCUCGUCCGGGCUCAUCGCCCUAGAUUGGUGGCUGGGCUCGAGCCCACUUGUGUCUUUCUCGGUAUGUUUAGUUGGUUUAAGUGGGCCAUGACCUGAUAAGCCCACUCUUGGACCAGCCCAUUAGGGUUAUGGCCCAAGUGUCUUAUUAUAAAAAGGAAGCUCACCUUCCUUAAGAGCCAGAUUACACUUUCCCUACAAAAAAGAAGGUUACUUCUCUUCCUUCUCACAUAAUACAUCUGCUCCCUCUCUAGAUUAUACAUUUUACUUGCACUUAUAACUAUCUUUACCAUACAUGAUACUGACUUGAGCGUCGGAGUGCCCACGGGGUGAACCCCCUCGGGCCCUCUAACUAGAUCUACCUGUGGCUGCAGCCCAAGACCCGACAUCCCUCAAGAGGAACCGUCACCGUGACGACGAGAGGAAGAACCUGAACCAGAGCUCACCGAAUCUAAGAGGGUUGUUUUUGAACGCAAGGAGAUUGCAAAAGAGAGGAGUUCGACAGCUGAAGAGUGGGACGCACUGGCGGCUGUACACGGUGCAAGCAUGAGCGACUAGGUGGUUUUUUUCAGGGUGACGGUUCCUAGGAUUCCGACUAGGAAGCUAUCAGUUGGAGUGGAUCCUGGACCUUCUCACUUGCCAUAUUCUUGUUGUCUUAACGAUGUGCUUAUAGUUCUAAAUAAAUUCAGUUUUGUAAAGUUAAACAUCAAAACGAGUUACUAAAAAUGUAUGGAUUAAGAAACCGAACCGAAUCGCCGGUUGUAGAACUCAUGUUUUAUGGGACUACUAAGCCACACCUCGUAGUUUUUGAAGCAG